rnacentral:rRNA from 1 species
ACGGGAGGCAGCAGUGAGGAAUAUUGGUCAAUGGGCGAGAGCCUGAACCAGCCAAGUAGCGUGCAGGAUGACGGCCCUCCGGGUUGUAAACUGCUUUUAGUUGGGAAUAAAAAAAGGGACUUGUCCCUUCUUGUAUGUACCUUCAGAAAAAGGACCGGCUAAUUCC